GUACAGGGAAGGCAGGUUGAGAUGUCGUGUUGAGAUGAAACGAUCCGGACGAGGAAUAGCCGAGCACUUUACGGGGAUUAUUUGUUACAAUGAUAAGAAAAAUAGCAUUAAUGACGUCGGGCGUGUGAUGCAUUACACGAGAAUCCGCUACGUGUGCGUCAGGGGAGGACUUGGAACCCAUGCCGCACACCAAGGCCUCAUAAAGAAAUAUCAUGUCGUUUAUCGUCGCCGCCCGCGUCCGGAUGUUACUAAAAAGGGGAGCGGGGAACAGGGAUCUGGGAACGAGUGAUCAGCGGUAGGGCACAGCGAUGUAGCAACCUCACGUGCGUCUCUUUGGCUCUUCUCUCGUUAAAAUGGAUGAUGUGAUAGAGAUCAAGUCAAGUGAAAGGUAUGUU